GUCGAUGCAGAUUUACUGAAGUGUAAGAGGCAGUCUUCUCUUUCCUUGAUGGUUUCUGUCAUCAAUGCUUUAUUCACCAGAUCUGCCCAGUCUUUAGCCCCCAUAUUGAUACUGUCUAAGCUCAGCCAGCAUGGGUACAGAGAGCUGACCAGCAGGUAGAGUAAAAAUACCUUUGCAGUCAUGCAAGCAAAUCCACCCUUUCCCAUUAACCAUUAAGAAGCUAUCUUGGACUUUGGAUUUUUGUUAGCUAUUAACUCACAUACCUCAAAUGAGCUAUAAUAAAAGCAUUACUGUGAAA
rnacentral:lncRNA from 1 species